CUGAUACGAUCAUGGGGAAUCCGACUGUUUAAUUAAAACAAAGCAUUGCGAAACUUUUAACUAGAUUUUUACGUAAUGUGAUUUCUGCUCAGUGCUCUGAAUGUCAAAGUGAAGUAAUUCAACCAAGCGCGGGUAAACAGCGGGAGUAACUAUGACUCUCUUAAGGUAGCCAAAAUGCCUCGUCAUCUAAUUAGUGACGCGCAUGAAUGGAUUAACGAGAUUCCCACUGUCCCUACUUGCUAUCUAGCGAACCAACAGCCAAGGGAACGGGCUUGGCAAUGUCAGCGGGGAAAGAAGACCCUAUUGAGCUUGACUCUAGUCUAAAAUUGUGAAAAUAUUUUUUAUGGGGUGUAGAAUAGGUGGGAGUUUGUAAAAACAUCUUGAAAUACCACUACCGUAAAUAAUAUUUACUUAUCUAAUUAUUAUAUAAUAUAUUUUAAUAAUAAUAUUUUUUGAUUUAAAAUGUAUAUAUUCUUAUCUAUUUAAUAUUCAGGGGUU
rnacentral:rRNA from 1 species